ACAUGUGUGUGUUCUCUGGACAUUCUUGAAGUUGUGAGUAAUUAGAUUGUUUUUUGCUGCGUUUAGGUUGUACCACCUCGUUGUUUUCGUGUACUUUUGUGCUCAUCGACGCGAAGUGAGCGUCCGGAGUGAAGGCGACGCGAUUAUGCGUGAGAAAGAAGGGCACCAGCGGCCUACGACAUCGGUGUUUCUUUGUGACAGUGUGUUUACUACGCCUACGACGGCCGUCAUUCGUGGCGAAGGAGAAAACAUCUUCCAUUCGGCCUGAACAGUGAUGAAGUGGACGUUUUGUUUUUCGGUGGAAUGCAUCGUCAACAUGGUCCAUCCACUACGUAAACGAAACGGCGUGCCCAGAGUACAGAUCGUGACAGCGCUCCGCCUUCAAACCGAGGGCCUUUUGCAAGGCGCAUGAACUGCUCAUAUAAAAGUUGCAGUCAGCAUGAAGCAAUUGCAGUCAGCAUGAAGCAAUUGCAUGGGAACCGACUGGCUGUCUUGGGCCUACACGUUGCUGAAAAGACAGUGAAGACGUCUGACCCGACAGGCUGUACUAGUUGAUCCAUGAUGUUCGACAGACAGCGCAACCUCAUAAAAUAUCUUCAUGGAUGCAAAAGGUGCCUCUUGUGCAAGUUCUGUUCUAGCCUGACACGGAAAACAAACCUGGCAGAAGGUAGAGCACAUGCUCUUUUGUAAGCAAAACGCAUGAUUGCAUUUUCUUGGCAGUUAUUGCAAUGUUUUCUGAUGUUUAUCUGCAUGAACAUUAAUUAUCUCAGCUGCUAAAGACACAUCACUAGACACUGUGAGCAGAAAAAAGUGAUUGUGCAGUACUGUUGAAGUCAUGCAACAUUAUGUUUAAGCAAACUGGCAGGGAUGCUAGCUGUUAAAAAGAAAAAGCUGACUUCUAGAAAAAUUUGCACUCCUAAAUGUGGAAUUGAAAUUCACUAUGCUUAUAAGCUACAAAAGAUUUCCAGGAUGAUCAGACUAGUUACACUGGCCAUUUACUGAUUCAAUAAGGUUCACUGAAGCUUGUUUUUAAAUUCCCACUGUUUUUAUGCAGGGUGAUGAUUUUCAGUCUUGUGGAAUUUUUAAAUAUAGUCCUGUUGCAUAUAGCAUAACUCUAGUCCUUGAGCAGGAAUAUUCAAACACGCAGAUAUAUCUAGCACAAGAAAUCGAAACAUAUUAAACUAAUUAAAAAAAGUAUUAUCUUUCGAAUGAAUUACAUUUUAGCUAAUAUAACCGAAAGGAAAGGGGCUUAACCAAGAAACCCGAUGUUUAUUAAUCAUAUCCUAAGAAGCCAGCAAACACUGACACCAAGGACAAGUUAGGGUAAAUUACUUGUGAUUAACAAAUGAAGUAAAGAAAUGAUAAAUUAAUGGAAAUGAAAGUGGAUGAAAAAACAGCUUGCUGCAGGUGGGGAACGAACCCACAUCAUUGCAUUACGCGUUAGAUGCUUUACCAAUUGAGCU